rnacentral:rRNA from 1 species
UGGGGAAUAUUGCACAAUGGGCGAAAGCCUGAUGCAGCAACGCCGCGUGAGGGACGACGGCCUUCGGGUUGUAAACCUCUUUAGCAAGGAAGAAGCGAAAGUGACGGUACUUGCAGAAAAAGCGCCGGCUAACUACGUGCCAGCAGCCGCGGUAAUACGUAGGGCGCAAGCGUUAUCCGGAAUUAUUGGGCGUAAAGAGCUCGUAGGCGGUUUGUCGCGUCUGCUGUGAAAACCCGAGGCUCAACCUCGGGCCUGCAGUGGGUACGGGCAGACUAGAGUGCGGUAGGGGAGAUUGGAACUCCUGGUGUAGCGGUGGAAUGCGCAGAUAUCAGGAAGAACACCGAUGGCGAAGGCAGAUCUCUGGGCCGUAACUGACGCUGAGGAGCGAAAGGGUGGGGAGCAAACAGGCUUAGAUACCCUGGUAGUCCACCCCGUAACGUUGGGAACUAGUUGUGGGGUCCAUUCCACGGAUUCCGUGACGCAGCUAACGCAUUAAGUUCCCCGCCUGGGGAGUACGGCCGCAAGGCUAAAACUCAAAGGAAUUGACGGGGUCAUAGCUG